AUAGUCCAAUAUUUAUAUGCAGGUUGUGGUAUUUCUCAUCCCUCUUUUAGAUGAUAAAUACCCUUUGAUGUGGAGUGUUACUUACUACACUCUUUCUCUUAGCAAAUUCAUUAUUCAGGAUAUUACGUUAUGCAGUAUCUGAAGGACAUAAUUUCUUAUCUGGGCCUCCUCACCUCUAAGUUAGUGGGGGGAAAAAAAAAGGUUCAUACUCAAGCUAACAUAAACUCAUUGAGAUCAAAGUGGAUGAUCAGCUUUGUCAACACCCUCUUACAACACUAGGUUUGAUGUUACAAGGUCAGCACUGAGAGUAGUUUGUGUAGAGAACAUGUACAAGAUAUACAUAAGCAAGUUUUGGUUGUAUGCUUGUAUAUAUUUAUUCUAUGAGUGCAUACAUAAGCAAGUUUGGGUUGUAUAGUUAUAUAUGUAU